rnacentral:rRNA from 1 species
AUGAACGCUGGCGGCGUGCCUAAUACAUGCAAGUCGAGCGAACGGACGAGAAGCUUGCUUCUCUGAUGUUAGCGGCGGACGGGUGAGUAACACGUGGAUAACCUACCUAUAAGACUGGGAUAACUUCGGGAAACCGGAGCUAAUACCGGAUAAUAUUUUGAACCGCAUGGUUCAAAAGUGAAAGACGGUCUUGCUGUCACUUAUAGAUGGAUCCGCGCUGCAUUAGCUAGUUGGUAAGGUAGCGGCUUACCAAGGCAACGAUGCAUAGCCGACCUGAGAGGGUGAUCGGCCACACUGGAACUGAGACACGGUCCAGACUCCUACGGGAGGCAGCAGUAGGGAAUCUUCCGAAAUGGGCGAAAGCCUGACGGAGCAACGCCGCGUGAGUGAUGAAGGUCUUCGGAUCGUAAAACUCUGUUAUUAGGGAAGAACAUAUGUGUAAGUAACUGUGCACAUCUUGACGGUACCUAAUCAGAAAGCCACGGCUAACUACGUG